rnacentral:rRNA from 1 species
GACGAACGCUGGCGGCGUGCUUAACACAUGCAAGUCGAACGGAAAGGCCCUGCUUUUGUGGGGGGCUCGAGUGGCGAACGGGUGAGUAACACGUGAGUAACCUGCCCUUGACUUUGGGAUAACUUCAGGAAACUGGGGCUAAUACCGGAUAGGAGCUCCUGCUGCAUGGUGGGGGUUGGAAAGUUUCGGCGGUUGGGGAUGGACUCGCGGCUUAUCAGCUUGUUGGUGGGGUAGUGGCUUACCAAGGCUUUGACGGGUAGCCGGCCUGAGAGGGUGACCGGACACAUUGGGACUGGGAUGCGGCCCAGACUACUACGGGAGGCAGCAGUGGGGAAUAUUGCACAAUGGGCGGAAGCAUGAUGCAGUAACGCCGCGUGCGGGAUGACGGCAUUCGGGUUGUAAACCGCUUUCGCCUGUGACGAAGCGUGAGUGACGGUAAUGGGUAAAGAAGCACCGGCUAACUACGUG